CCUUUUCCUCUUCUUUCUUUUCCUUAUUUUUAUUCUUGAGUAAUGUUUCUCUUUCUAUUAAGGCCAGUUCCCUACUAGUUUGGUUAGUGUUUGUUCUUCACACCCUCUUUUUUGGAAUUUUUCCUUUAGAUUUGUUGCUUCUUGUUCAUAUUCCUCCACUCUUGUACAAUUUCGGCAUGCCCAGAUAAAUUGACUACGCGGGAUGUUUGCCCACCAACUUGCCCCUGCCCCCCAAAAUGUCUGUGUGCAUCCCUGCAAGUGUGCUUGGAAGAGUAAGAAACAGCAACCAGAUGAAUGGAGACAACCACCGGCACAAAGAGGAAGACCAAAGACCCAUGAAGACACUAUGUAACUAUGACGGGUUACUUACUUUAAGAUGGAGUUCACCAGGUCCAGAUAUUCGAAAGCACUUACUGUAGUCCAGAAGAAGAAGGAGCAUCUUAGUGCAGAAAAUAAAACAUCAAAGUAAAUCUGUCUAUGAAAAGACCUAACA